rnacentral:rRNA from 1 species
UACGAAGGGGGCUAGCGUUGCUCGGAAUCAUUGGGCGUAAAGAGCGUGUAGGCGGCCCGAUAAGUCCGCUGUGAAAGUCCAGGGCUCAACCCUGGGAUGCCGGUGGAUACUGUCGGGCUCGAGUCCGGAAGAGGAGUGUGGAAUUCCUGGUGUAGCGGUGAAAUGCGCAGAUAUCAGGAGGAACACCGAUGGCGAAGGCAGGUCUCUGGGCCACUACUGACGCUGAGAAGCGAAAGCAUGGGGAGCGAACAGG